rnacentral:rRNA from 1 species
UACGGAGGGUGCAAGCGUUAUCCGGAUUCACUGGGUUUAAAGGGUGCGUAGGCGGGUAAGUAAGUCCGUGGUGAAAUCUCUGAGCUUAACUCAGAAACUGCCGUGGAUACUAUUUGCCUUGAAUAUUGUGGAGGUGAGCGGAAUAUGUCAUGUAGCGGUGAAAUGCUUAGAUAUGACAUAGAACACCAAUUGCGAAGGCAGCUCACUACGCAAUCAUUGACGCUGAGGCACGAAAGCGUGGGGAUCAAACAGG